UCGCUCUUCAACGAGGAAUCCCUAGUAAGCACAAGUCACCAGCUUGUGCUGAUUACGUCCCUGCCCUUUGUACACACCGCCCGUCGCUACUACCGAUUGAAUGGCUUAGUGAGGCCCUCGGAUCGACUUUCUGAGACUGGCAACAGUCUCUGAUUGUUGAGAAGUUGGUCAAACUUGGUCAUUUAGAGGAAGUAAAAGUCGUAACAAGGUUUCCGUAGGUGAACCUGCGGAAGGAUCAUUAAUGAUUUGGCGAACCUAACGUUAGUUAGGUUUUGCGAUCACUUAUUUAAAACCCAACUCUUAAAUGUAUAAAUUAUAUUUCUUGAUAAAAAAAAUAAAGAUCACUUUCAACAACGGAUCUCUUGGCUCUCGCAUCGAUGAAGAACGUAGCGAAGUGCGAUAAGUAAUGUGAAUUGCAGAAUUCCGUGAAUCAUCGAAUCUUUGAACGCAAAUUGCACUUUCUGGUAUUCCGGAAAGUAUGCCUGUUUGAGGGUCAGUUAAAUAAAAAUCGGUGUUAUUGCUAUUAAUGGUGAUUGCAUCGGAAUUGAGUCGUCUUUACCUUUGGUUUAAGUGACUUAAAAUUAUGUACGAUUUCUGAACGUAUUUAAAUUAUUUACUUACGCUCAUGAUAUCACAUAUUAGGUGCGGUCAUCCACAUGAUUUCGCGCCUAUAAUUUUUUCAUUAUUUGACCUCAAAUCAGGUAAGAAUACCCGCUGAACUUAAGCAUAUCAAUAAGCGGAGGAAAAGAAAAUAACAAUGAUUCCCUUAGUAACGGCGAGUGAAGGGGGAUAAGCUCAAAUUUUAAAUCUGCUAGGUUUUACUUAUCAGAGUUGUAAUUUGAAGAAGCGUUUUCCGCGUCUCGGUUGACCCAAAUCCUUUGGGAUAUGGUAUCAUGGAGGGUGAGAAUCCCGUCCGGUUGACUUUGUGACGCUUUACGAUACGUUUUCAAAGAGUCGAGUUGUUUGGGAUUGCAGCUCAAAAUGGGAGGUAAAUUUCUCCUAAGGCUAAAUAUUGGCGAGAGACCGAUAGCGAACAAGUACCGUGAGGGAAAGAUGAAAAGAACUUUGAAAAGAGAGUAAAAUAGUACGUGAAAUUGUUGAAAGGGAAACGAUUGAAGUCAGUCGUACCGACGGAAAAUCAACUCUUCGAGUGCGGACUUUGUGGACGUGCGUGAGUUUUACGACCUCGCUGUUUGUAACGUUUGUGCUUUUUGGGUGUACUUUUUCGUAUGGUAGGCCAACGUCAGUUUUGAUCGCUAUAAAAUGACCGGAGGAAUGUAGCUUCGAUCUCGUAUUGAAGUGUUAUAGCCUUUGGUAGAUGUGGUGAUCGAGACUGAGGAUUGCAACGAAUAUCCUUUGGGCUAUCCGUCUGAUCUCUGAAAGUCGCUUAGGUGCCGAAAGCUUGCUUACGGUCAUUUAAGUUUGACGGUCAAAAGGUUAGAACGUGAUUACAUUCGUUAAGGAUGUUGGCGUAAUGGCUUUAAACGACCCGUCUUGAAACACGGACCAAGGAGUCUAACAUAUAUGCGAGUGUU
rnacentral:rRNA from 1 species